rnacentral:rRNA from 1 species
UACGUAGGUGGCAAGCGUUAUCCGGAAUUAUUGGGCGUAAAGCGCGCGCAGGCGGUUUCUUAAGUCUGAUGUGAAAGCCCACGGCUCAACCGUGGAGGGUCAUUGGAAACUGGGGAACUUGAGUGCAGAAGAGAAAAGCGGAAUUCCACGUGUAGCGGUGAAAUGCGUAGAGAUGUGGAGGAACACCAGUGGCGAAGGCGGCUUUUUGGUCUGUAACUGACGCUGAGGCGCGAAAGCCGGGGGAGCAAACAGG